rnacentral:rRNA from 1 species
AGAGUUUGAUUCUGGCUCAGACCNNACGCUGGCGGCAGGCCUAAGACAUGCAAGUCGUACGAGAAAGCCCUUUCGGGGGUGAGUAGAGUGGCGAACGGGUUAGUAACGCGUGGGAACAUACACAGCACAGGGGGAUAACCAUUGGAAACGAUGGCUAAUACCGCAUACGCCCUAAGGGGGAAAGAUUUAUCGGUGUUGGAUUGGCCCGCGUUAGAUUAGCUAGUUGGUGGGGUAAUGGCUUACCAAGGCGACGAUUUAUAGCUGGUUUGAGAGAUGAUCAGCAACACUGGAACUGAGACACGGUCCAGACUCCUACGGGAGGCAGCAGUCGGGAAUAUUGUGCAAUGGGGGCAACCCUGACACAGCCAUGCCGCGUGAGUGAAGAAGGCCUUAGGGUUGUAAAGCUCUUUCAGAUGUGAGGAUGAUGACGAUAGCAUCACAAGAAGCUCCGGCUAACUUCGUGCCAGCAGCCGCGGUAAUACGAAGGGAGCAAGCGUUGUUCGGAAUUACUGGGCGUAAAGGGCGUGUAGGCGGAUUAUCAAGUUAGGGGUGAAAUCCCGGGGCUCAACCUCGGCACUGCCUUUAAGACUGAUAAUCUAGAGUAUGUGAGGGGAUAAUGGAAUACCUAGUGUAGAGGUGAAAUUCGUAGAUAUUAGGUGGAACACCAGUGGCGAAGGCGAUUAUCUGGCACAUUACUGACGCUGAGGCGCGAAAGCGUGGGGAGCAAACGGGAUUAGAUACCCCGGUAGUCCACGCCGUAAACGAUGUAUACUAGUUGUCGGGCAUUGGUUCGGUGACGCAGCUAACGCAUUAAGUAUACCGCCUGGGGAGUACGGUCGCAAGAUUAAAACUCAAAGAAAUUGACGGGGACCCGCACNAGCGGUGGAGCAUGUGGGUUUAAUUCNAAGCAACGCGAAGAACCUUACCCNCCUUUGACAUGGUAGUUUGGGGGUAUUGGAAAACGAUACCUUUCAGUUCGGCUGGGCUACNCACAGGUGCUGCAUGGCUGUCNUCACCUCNUGUCNUGAAAAUUUUGGGUUAANUCCCNCAACGAAGCCCACCCUA